UACGUAGGUGGCAAGCGUUGUCCGGAUUUACUGGGCGUAAAGAGCGCGCAGGCGGUCGUUCAAGUCGCGUGUGAAAGCCCCCGGCUCAACUGGGGAGGGUCACGCGAUACUGAUCGACUGGAAGGCAGGAGAGGGUAGUGGAAUUCCCGGUGUAGUGGUGAUAUGCGUAGAUAUCGGGAGGAACACCAGUGGCGAAGGCGGUUGCCUGGAGCUUUGCUGACGCUGAGGCGCGAAAGCGUGGGGAGCGAUCCGG
rnacentral:rRNA from 1 species